UUUUCCUUAAUAUACUCCGCCCGGGUAUUACGAGCAUCAGCUUAAAACCCAAAGGACUUGGCGGGUGCUUUACAUCCACCUAGAGGAGCCUGUUCUAUAACCUAUAACCCCCGUUAAACCUCACCUCUCCUUGCCUAUUCCGCCUAUAUACCACCGUCGUCAGCUUACCCUGUGAAGGCCUAACAGUAAGCUAAAUUGGCAAACCCCAGAACGUCAGGUCGAGGUGUAGUGCAUGCAGGGGGAAGAAAUGGGCUACAUUUGCUUUUAAAGCAAACACGAAUGAUGUAUUGAACAUACAACUGAAGGAGGAUUUAGCAGUAAGUAGAAAAUAGAGUGUCUCUACUGAAAACGGCUCUUAAGCGCGCACACACCGCCCGGGUCACC
rnacentral:rRNA from 1 species